GUUUGGAGAGGGACCUAUAGUGAAAAGAAUACCAUCCCCACUGUGAAGCAUGGUAGGGGCUCAUGGAUGUUUUGAGGGUUGUGAGCUCGGGGAAUCUUGUGAAAAUUGAUGGCAAGAUUAAUGCUGCAUGUUAUCAGAAAAUACUGGCAGACAAUUUGCAUUCUUCUGCACGAAGGCUGCACAUGGGAUGCAAUUGGACUUUCCAGCAUGACAACAACCCUAAUCACAAGACCAAGUUGACCCUCCAGUGGUUACAGCAUGAAAAGGUGAAGGUUCUGGAGUGGCCAUCACAGUCUCCUGACCUUAGUAUCAUCGAGCCACUCUGGGGAGAUCUGAAACGUGCGGUUCAUGUAAGACGAACAAAGACUUUGCAUGACCUGGAGGCAUUUUGCUAAGACCAAUGGGCAGCUAUACCACCUGCAAGAAUUAGGGGCCUCAUAGAGAGCUAUUAGAAAAGACUGCACGCUGUCAUUGAUGCUAAAGUGGUCAAUACACAGUAUUAAGAACUAAGGGAAUGCAGACUUCUGAACAGGGGUCAUUUCAUU